rnacentral:tmRNA from 1 species
GGGGGCGCAACGGCUUCGACGGGAUUGAAUCGCGAUGGGAAGGCGUGCCGGGUUCCGAGCUCCCGUAAAACGAUCGGAAAAACAAAACUGCCAAUAACAUGCAGUUUGCAUACGCUGCUUAAUUAAAGUUAAGUGAGCGUCGCUCCGGCCAGUCAGCCCACGGGUUGGCUAGUGAGCGUCAUCCAGUGGGAUAGGGAGCAGGCUUCGGUCCGGAGCCGAGACUCGAGAUCAAUCGGACUAGGUGCAGCGCUGCUUUUGCCGGUUCCGAAGCGCUGACCGAAUCAAAAGAACCGCGCUACGCACGUAGUCUUUUCAUUUCGGGCUUUUUCGGACGGGGGUUCAACUCCCCCCGCCUCCACCA